rfam:TPA: Bos taurus chromosome 14, whole genome shotgun sequence.
UCCCUGGUGGUCCAGUGGUUGGGACUCUGUGCUUCCAAUGCAGGGAGCUUGGAUUCGAUUCCCAGUUGGGGAA